UACGUAGGGGGCUAGCGUUGUCCGGAUUUAUUGGGCGUAAAGAGCGUGUAGGCGGCCAGGUAGGUCUGCUGUGAAAACUCGAGGCUUAACCUCGAGAUGUCGGCGGAAACCAUCUGGCUAGAGUCCGGAAGAGGAGAGUGGAAUUCCUGGUGUAGCGGUGAAAUGCGCAGAUAUCAGGAGGAACACCGGUGGCGAAGGCGGCAUCCUGGACCAACACUGACGCUGAGUGAGCGAAAGCCAGGGGAGCAAACGGG
rnacentral:rRNA from 1 species